rnacentral:lncRNA from 1 species
AUGUUUAUUAUUUUAUUUAAAAAAAAAAACUUUUAUAUGUUGAUAUUGUUAGGAUUCGGUUAAAUAGUUGAUUUCUAGUUGAAUAGGAUUGAUAUUUAAAUCUAUUAUAGAUAAAUUAAUUAAGAUUUAAAUAUUAAUAAAAUAGAAUUUCAAAUUAUAUUAGGAUUGGGAUAUAUUUUUUGUGGGAGCUAUAUAUAUUAG